GCGGAAGUGACUCAACGGUAGAGUGUCACCUUCCCAAGGUGAAGGUUGCGGAUUCGAAUCCCGUUUUCCGCUCCA
rnacentral:tRNA from 1 species